rnacentral:rRNA from 1 species
UACAGAGGGUGCGAGCGUUGUCCGGAAUCACUGGGCGUAAAGGGCGCGUAGGCGGCUUGAUAAGCGUGCGGUGAAAGCCCGGGGCUCAACCCCGGGUCGGCCGUGCGAACUGUCGAGCUGGAGCACUGUAGAGGCAGGUGGAAUUCCGGGUGUAGCGGUGAAAUGCGCAGAUAUCGGGAAGAACACCCGUGGCGAAGGCGGUUCUCUGGGACGGUACUGACGCUGAGACGCGAAAGCGUGGGGAGCGAACAGG